GACGAACGCUGGCGGCGUGCUUAACACAUGCAAGUCGAACGGAAAGGCCCUGCUGUUGUGGGGUGCUCGAGUGGCGAACGGGUGAGUAAGACGUGAGUAACCUGCCCUUGACUUUGGGAUAACUGCAGGAAACUGGGGCUAAUACCGGAUAGGAGCUCCUGCUGCAUGGUGGGGGUUGGAAAGUUUCUGCGGUUGGGGAUGGACUCGCGGCUUAUCAGCUUGUUGGUGGGGUAGUGGCUUACCAAGGCUUUGACGGGUAGCCGGCCUGAGAGGGUGACCGGCCACAUUGGGACUGAGAUACGGCCCAGACUCCUACGGGAGGCAGCAGUGGGGAAUAUUGCACAAUGGGCGGAAGCCUGAUGCAGCAACGCCGCGUGCGGGAUGACGGCCUUCGGGUUGUAAACCGCUUUCGCCUGUGACGAAGAGUGAGUGACGGUAAUGGGUAAAGAAGCACCGGCUAACUACGUG
rnacentral:rRNA from 1 species